UACGAAGGGGGCUAGCGUUGCUCGGAAUGACUGGGCGUAAAGGGCGCGUAGGCGGUCUGUACAGUCAGACGUGAAAUUCCUGGGCUUAACCUGGGGGCUGCGUUUGAUACGUGCAGACUAGAGUGGGGAAGAGGGUCGUGGAAUUCCCAGUGUAGAGGUGAAAUUCGUAGAUAUUGGGAAGAACACCGGUGGCGAAGGCGGCGACCUGGUCCUUGACUGACGCUGAGGCGCGAAAGCGUGGGGAGCAAACAGG
rnacentral:rRNA from 1 species